rnacentral:misc_RNA from 1 species
UUUCCGUAGGUGAACCUGCGGAAGGAUCAUUACAAAUCCAUCCACGUCUCAUUCCUUGAGACCACGUUGAAAUGUUCCCUAGAGUGUAUGUAUGUGUUGUGGUCUCCUCGACCUUCAGCCGCUUCAUCGGCCGUCCGUCCUGUGGUGGCACACAAUGCAAUACAAUACAAUACAAUACAAUACACACUAGGCUUGUAAACUAGUAUCAUUUGUUGCUCAAUUGUAUCUUGCUUGAUUGUAAUGAUCAAGGUAAACAAAGUACAACUUAUAACAAUGGAUCUCUAGGCUCUU